rnacentral:rRNA from 1 species
AAUGCCGUUGGGGGUAAUGUUUCACAUGCAGUCGAGCGGCAGCGGGGGAAGAAACCCUGGCGGUGAGCGGCGAACGGGUGAGUAAUGCAUCGGAACGUACCCAUUUGUGGGGGAUAACUAUCCGAAAGGAUAGCUAAUACCGCAUAAGCCCUGAGGGAGAAAGCAGGGGAUCGCAAGACCUUGCGCGAAUGGAGCGGCCGAUGCGGGGAUUAGCUAGUUGGUAGGGUAAAGGCCUACCAAGGCGACGAUCCGUAGCUGGUCUGAGAGGAUGAUCAGCCACACUGGAACUGAGACACGGUCCAGACUCCUACGGGAGGCAGCAGUGGGGAAUUUUGGACAAUGGGCGCAAGCCUGAUCCAGCCAUUCCGCGUGAGUGAAGAAGGCCUUCGGGUUGUAAAGCUCUUUCGGCAGGAACGAAACGGUGGGGGCUAAUACCCCCUGCUAAUGACGGUACCUGAAGAAGAAGUACCGGCUAACUACGUGCCAGCAGCCGCGGUAAUACGUAGGGUGCGAGCGUUAAUCGGAAUUACUGGGCGUAAAGCGUGCGCAGGCGGUUCUAUAAGACAGAUGUGAAAUCCCCGGGCUUAACCUGGGAACUGCGUUUGUGACUGUAGGACUCGAGUGUGGCAGAGGGGGGUGGAAUUCCACGUGUAGCAGUGAAAAUGCGUAGAGAUGUGGAGGAACACCGAUGGCGAAGGCAGGCCCCGUGGUCAACACUGACGCUCAUGCACGAAAGCGUGGUAGCAAACAGGAUUAGAUACCCUGGUAGUCCACGCCCUAAACGAUGCAAACUAGGUGUUGGGGAAGGAGACUUUCUUAGUUCCCGCAGCUUAACGCGUGAAGUUCGCCGCCUGGAGGAGUAAGUCCGCAGAAUC